rnacentral:rRNA from 1 species
CCUACGGGAGACAGCAGUGAGGAAUAUUGGUCAAUGGCCGGAAGGCUGAACCAGCCAAGCCGCGUGAAGGACGAAGGUGCCAAGCAUUGUAAACUUCUUUUGUCAAGGGACAAAAUCAGGCUCGAGAGCCUGACCGAGGGUACUUGAAGAAAAAGCAUCGGCUACCUCCUUGCCAGCAGCCGCGGUAAUACGGAGGAUGCGAGCGUUAUCAGGAUUUAUUGGGUUAAAGGGGUGCGUAGGCGGGCUUUUAAGUCAGCGGUAAAAUCCCGGGGCCCAACCCCGGCGAGCCGUUGAAACUGGCUGUCUUGAGAUGUCGAGAGGUAUGCGGAAUGCGCAGUGUAGCGGUGAAAUGCUUAGAUAUUGCGCAGAACUCCGAUUGCGAAGGCAGCAUACCGGCGGCGAUCUGACGCUGAGGCACGAAAGCGUGGGUAUCAAACAGGAUUAGAUACCCCAGUAGUC